rnacentral:lncRNA from 10 species
AGCGACUGAAGCAGCAUGGCCAAGCCGUGUGGGGUGCGCCUGAGCGGGGAAGCCCGCAAACAGGUGGAGGUCUUCAGACAGAAUCUUUUCCAGGAGGUAAGUCUCUGGAUUUGAGCGAUUUGACCCAGAAUCUUGGACCAAUACUUGAGGAUAACAGCCUCUCAGAAUGACCCCCCCAAGUCACCCUAGACUUAACCCUACUUCCCUUACCAAGCCUUCACCCAAAGUAACCCCGGAAUUAUUGAUAGCUACCUUUAAUCUGACCUUUCUUAUGACUCUCCCGACUUCUGGCACUUCUCCCGUCUUUUGAUGUGGAGGAAAAAAACCAUGGCUUCCAAAGCAGGAAUAUCACAGUCCUAACCUUCGUUCUGCCAUUUACCAGCUUGGGCAAGUCCUUUCAUUUUCAGGUCUUCAGUUUCCUCAUUUGCAAGUCUUGGACCCAGUGAUUUCCAAAGGCCCUUCCAGUUCCAUUUGUCAGACAUCUCAUUGAGCAUAUUCUGUGAUUCCCCUCCCUUGCAAUGUAACCCACAGGCUGAGGAAUUCCUCUACAGAUUCUUGCCACAGAAAAUCAUAUACCUGAAUCAGCUCUUGCAAGAGGACUCCCUCAAUGUGGCUGACUUGACUUCCCUCCGGGCCCCACUGGACAUCCCCAUCCCAGACCCUCCACCCAAGGAUGAUGAGAUGGAAACAGAUAAGCAGGAGAAGAAAGAAGGUAAGAGAGAUAAGAGGUGACUAGGGAAGGGGUGAUGGCACACUGACUACUGGAUGAGAAAGGGCCUGAAUCC